AUACCUUUGUGGUUCAUAGUAUGAUGUUUGGGUUUUCACAUUGUUCUGUGAGAUGUUCCUCCUUCCUACCUUGUUAACUCAAUUGACC
rnacentral:snoRNA from 1 species